AAUAUUGCGCAAUGGAGGGAACUCUGACGCAGCGACGCCGCGUGAGCGAUGAAGGUCUUCGGAUCGUAAAGCACUGUCCUUGGGGAAGAAGGUCUUCGGCCUUGACGGUACCUAAGGAGGAAGCACCGGCUAACUACGCGCCUGCAGCCGAGGUAAUACGUAGGGGGCAAGCGUUGUCCGGAAUUAUUGGGCGUAAAGGGUGCGUAGGAGGCCUUUUAAGUCAGAUGUGAAAGCCCACGGCUUAACUGUGGGACUGCAUUUGAAACUGGAGGGCUUGAGUAUCGGAGAGGGUAGUGGAAUUCCCAGUGUAGCGGUGGAGUGCGUAGAUAUUGGGAGGAACACCAGUGGCGAAGGCGACUACCUGGACGAAAACUGACGCUGAGGCACGAAAGCUAGGGGAGCAAACA
rnacentral:rRNA from 1 species